AUUGAACGCUGGCGGCAUGCCUUACACAUGCAAGUCGAACGGCAGCACGGGGCGAACCCUCGUGGCGAGUGGCGAACGGGUGAGUAAUGCAUCGGAACGUGUCCUCUUGUGGGGAGUAACCAGUCGAAAGAUUGGCUAAUACCGCAUGAGAUCGAGAGAUGAAAGCGGGGACCGAGGGUAACUUCGGCCUCGCGCGAGAGGAGCGGCCGAUGCCGGAUUAGCUAGUGGUGGGUAAGAGCCUACCAAGCGACGAUCCGUAGCUGGUCUGAGAGGACGACCAGCCACACUGGGACUGAGACACGGCCCAGACUCCUACGGGAGGCAGCAGUGGGGAAUUUUGGACAAUGGGCGCAAGCCUGAUCCAGCCAUGCCGCGUGUGUG
rnacentral:rRNA from 1 species